CAUUGCAACCAUGGUAGAAGAAUAUAGGUAGACGCAGCUGCUGGGACAAUGAACUGUCAAACCAAUUUUGGAAUUGAAAAUAUUGAAUGAAAAGUUAUUUAAAUUUGUAAAAAUCGUUGAAAAAACACGCAUUAAAAUAACCUCCACACGACGUUGUAUUAGAAAACAUAUAAAAAUCUACUUACAUUUGAAAAGAAACUAAAAUAAUCUUGACAUAUCGAUGCUCCCAAGCGUUUAUCGAUGCUCCCAAAUAACAUUAAUAUUUGAGUAUAUAUGUGAAAAUAUAUGUGUGAAUGUGAAAAGGCUUGCUCCCGGCCUGUACAUUAGCUGACAGAGCAUUUGACCAAUUAUAAAUAACCUUAAAACAAAAUAACAAAAACAAUAACAAGUCUGUUUAGGAUAUGACAAACAGAGGUCCUUACAAAGGUAACCAGAAAAUGGUUAAAAACAAAUUGAACAAAGAUAAGUUGAAUAAUUAAUUUGAUUUGUAAAUAUCACAGUGCGAAUAAGCAGCUAUUUUUAGCCUCGAUGUGUUCCAGGGUGGAUUUGGAGUAGAAUUGGCAUUGUCCUUUCCGGUGGAAUAUUAUAGUUUUCGUUGAGAAUACCAACAGGCGACAGUGGAAUUGAAAUCUUUUGCAGUGGAAAUGAAACCUUUUGAAGCGGAAAUGAAACCUUUUGCAGCGGAAAUAAAACCUUUUGCAACCGAAAUGAAACCAUUUGCAACCGAAAUGAAACUUAUUUUUCCUUCUAUAAAUUCAAAAGUUUCAUUUGAUUUGCAAAAGGUUUCAUUUAA